rnacentral:lncRNA from 1 species
GACCCGGAUGAACAGUGCCCGCGACGGUUCGUCUUCGACUUUCCCCUAUAAAUAGCGGAUGGAGUUCAUUUGUUUUCUCACUCGUUUUCUUCGCUCCGACCGAUCGACUUUCUCGCAUCGACUUUCAGGCUCCUUCUCUUCGACUUCCUGCUUCUUCCGCUUCGACUUCCAGCGUGCGUGAGGCUUCGACUUUAGCCUUGGAGGUGCAGCUUUCUGGAGUCCGACUUUUGUUAUCGGGCUCUACUGAGGCAGCACUGGGUUCGACUUCCUUGGCGUCCGACUUUUCUGAAAGUUGGUUCCCUUUGAAGUUGUUCCCCAUUGGACUGUGGUCCGACUUUGUGAAGUUUGACGCCUUGUCAUCGACUUUUCAAAGUUGGAUCCAUUUUACUGGGAUCGACUUUCUGACAGUCGACUUUCCUGUGAUCGACUUCUUGAGACCUUUGUCUCUUGAUAGUCGACUUUUCUGGGAUCGACUUCUGAGGUCGACUUCCCUUAUAUUGCAAGUUCGAUUCCCUUAAGUCCAGGUCGACUUUUCUUGGGGUCGACUUUUGCCUUAACUUGGCCUGACUGCUCUGUUCUUCGUGCAGGUUUUAUAAUGUCUUCUGACAAAAACUUGCAACAAGAUGCUCCUCAGAUCCCAAAAACCACAAAUGU